CACACAUCACCCUCACACACACAGCAUCCUCACCGCAGCAGACAGACGGCCAGACGUGGUCACCCAAGGAGUUCCCAACAAGGGACUUGAACUGGGGAACUUAACAGUCCUGGUCCUGCUUCCUACCUCUGAGCCACAGCAGCUUUUAUAUUCAUGUCAUUCUGGUCCUGUUCAUCCUGGCAUGUCUAUUACUCUGGGGGCUGUACCUUGACUUUGGAUGUGCUUCACCUGACCCUGAUCAGACAUUAGCAGGGUAUUUAAACUCAGCCUCGCCCUGUGAUCAGGAUCAAGUCUUUGAUCCUGUUGUGUGUUUCGUACCAGUGUUCCUGUUGUUUGAUCUACUACUUAUUAUUGACCCUGGCUUCUGUCUUCAUUUACUCUGACCUCUGGCAUCCCUUGACUCCGGC